AAGGCCAUCUCCUCCUCUAGGAGGUGGGAGCACCUCUUGGUGGUUUCAAUAUCCUCUUAGCUAUUUGAACCUUGAAGGUCAAGACCUAAGGGAUGGAGGUCAUGAACUCAACGAGACCCCUAGCCUGUCAUGGUGAAGACCCCUAGCCUGUCAUGGAAACUUCCAGCAGAUGUAUAUUUUGAGACGUUCCGGUCACUAGGUGUGGCUGUCUUUCUACUAGUCCGAGCCAGACAAGGGCAAUGAGAGAUGGACCAGCAGAAAGGACGAGGGCAGAGGCUGUGUGAGGGCAACAGCGUAAGAACUGACACCCUGAGGGUGGGAGCGGAUGAUAACUUAUCACUGAAGGGACCUGUGUCCCUGCAGGGCUCAAGGAGAAGCUGGGCUCAGAGGAGCCUGGCUGAUGGCCUUCAAAACAAGAAAAGAUCUGUUGCUUUGGUCAAGAACAGUGUGGGGAAGAGAAGAACUCAGAAGAACAGGGUGGUUCCUUCCAACUCUGGCUCCCCUUGCUUUCACUAUGGUGAACACGGAUCUCAUCGGGCAGGCUAGAGCUGAGGGUGGUGACCCAGUGGAGAGCGUGAGGAGAGGUGGUGGUGGCUGAUGGCGAGAACAUGGAUCCAAGCCCUUGGCGACAUUGAAAACAUGGAACCCCCCUCUCUUCCUGGUCCCCGUACUCCCCUUCGGACAGCGGUGUUGGGCCACGCCUUCGGAGGCCCUGUAAUAUCAACUCAACAAUGCAUGUUCUACAACUACAGCUACAGCUACCAGGACAUCUACUACAGUGCAUGCAUUUAGUUCAGUCCCACAGAUACAUACAAUCUAAGAACAGGCAAGGGAGGUGUGAAAUGUUUUACUAGACAACAGGUGUUUUGGAGUUGUAACUGAUAAAAAAAAAGAGAGAAACGUAAAGUGUACAAAAAAAAGAGAGAGACAUUUCUCGAGAGUUGGAUAUGAGUUUGUUUCUUGAACUGUUUCAUCUGAACAAGCAAAACAUGCAAACCAGCUGAUACUAACAGGAAGCUGGACACUGAGAGAGGUUAACAGGUGUGGACAAACCUUCCUGCUGAGCGUGCUCAGAAGAGUGUCUGAGAGGACGUGUGCAGGUCCUAGUGUAAGAGAGGCGGGAAAGUUUGCCUCAGACACUCUCUCUCACCGCAGCCCCAACCAAGCAAGAGAAAAGACAACAGAAACAUGACUGCUCACACUCACCACCACCGUCAGGAGCUUAUGUCACUAGACUGGAAUAAAGCCGGCAAGUAUAAAGUACAGUACGGGGUCCUGGCUGGGGCCGGGGCAGGGGCCGGGGGAGGGAGUGGACACCGGGGGAGGGGUGCUCUGCAAGCUCGAAGAGUAAUACACGGACCCACCAAUGAGGUCACCCCCAAAUAAAAGUACCCUGAAAAUUGGUACCAUUUUUUUUCCUCGGGUUGGGGGUCGGGGUGGGGUGGGGAGAGGAGUUGUCAGCAGUCCAACCGAAUUUAUGUUUGGAUGGGACGUGAUGGGGGCGGAGCCGCUGGAACUGGAUGGACACAAUCAAAAUAAACAAACUCUCGACUGAG
ensembl:antisense predicted gene 15893